UACUUUGAUGCCGUGUCACUUUCAAACAAUACCUAACGGAAUGAUUCAUUGCAGCGCUUGUGUUUGAUGUGAUCUAAACAAAAUGUGUAUUCUCAUGUGUACUUCACCUGGAACGCUAAUGAAAAGCACAUGUUCCUCUGAAGGGUACUGAAAAUAAUACGCUUGCAGGACAGCUGGUUCCCCCCAAAAAUGGUCCAAAACUGCUGCUUUUUAGGAGGUAGAUGUCACCCAGGGGUUUGUUGGGAAGGUUAAAGCUGUUGACCUGGGCCGAGCGUACAAACGGAAGUUCCUCUUUCGCCAUUGCGGCGAUAACAUACUUGCGCGCAACCUGUCUGACCUCAGCCAUUGUUUGUACUCUGCUAUUUUGGCCAGGAAGUGAUGACCGCGGGGGGACUGAGGGGGGGGGGGCACGUUAGCAUGCGCCACAGUGCACCGAGUUCAUUCAUCAUAAACAUCUGCAGAGCGUCUUGUGUAAGAGGUCAACAAUGCGUGAUGGCAGUUCCAGUCCCGUCCAAGAAUUUUCCGGGAUACGUUAGUGUCGCUUUUAUCUAAUGAUCUACGUUCCCUCAUGCACGUAUGAGGUGUGUCAGAAAGGUCCCAGGACUUAUGUUACGAAGCUAUACGAAGAAACCUUGCGUCGAUUGCUCCGUUCUCUGCGUGAGAAGAGGCGAAAAUCGUAGCUGGACAACUUGUGGCUUGUUCACCAUGACAUUGCACCUGCUCUUAAUGUGCUGAACAUCUGACAGUUCCUGACUAAAAACAAGCAGCCUACCUACUCAUACAACCUGACCCCAUGUAAUUCUUCUUAUUCUGCUCUUCUCCCAAGCUCACAUGAAGCCCUUUUAAAGAUGUGGAUGACAGCAAGAUGAAGCGAUGGAGGAUCUUGGAAGAAUCCUUCAAGGAGCGCAUGAAGGCAAGGAGAAGGCUGGGAAAGUGCGUUAGACUCCACGAAGAUUAUUUCAAAGGGUAAAAGUUGUAGUUUGGAUUUGCAAUAUAUCUUUCGGGGACUCCAGUCCUUGAAUUUUUCUGACACGCCUUUUAAGACAUGGUGACAAUUGUCUCCUCCUGAACGUAGACUCUUGAAAAAGGACAUCCUUGUCCCUGGACUGGUCGUCUGAAAGGUUCCGCUUUAGUACGCUUGACACUUGACACCUGUACGUUGGAGCAUAAAUUGACUCCAACUAUACCUUCAAAUGUACAGAAAAGGAUGCCCUUAUCUCCAUGGCAGCUUCAAAUGUUCUGGUUUUGUACCUUUGACAUGUGACGCCCUUUUUUAACUCUUGAAAAAGGAACACACAGUAGUCCUGGAAUCAGCCCUGUGGGGCAAAGCAAGUCUAGUGACUUUCAGAACAGAAAUCGCAUAAGUAGUUCCUGGCAGUGCGGCAACGUUGAGUCUGCCUCUACAUGUACAUAUUUAUUCCUUGGUGAGCAUGCAAGAAUGUGCUUCCAAUAACGACUUACUCCAGUAGUAAAUAUCAUGAGCGAAUCAAAACCACAAGAUCCUUUUCAGUUUUAGUCUGGAUAACUUGAUCUACAAGUAUUUGUAUUGAGAUGGAUUUUGAUUGGAAAUGCGGGCAGACAGAACAAGGGUUGAGGGUGGGACAGGACAAGACAAGAUAGAAGACAGGACAGGAGUCCUGGGCCAUGCAGUGCCCGUAACUCAUCCAGUAGGACAGCGGAACCCAAGUCUGGUCCUCGAGAGUCCCUGUCCAGCCUGUUUUGAAUGUCUCCCUCCUACAACACACCUGAUUGAAAUGACCAGGAUGGCAACAUCUAAAACAGGCAAGACAGGUGCUCUCUAGGAUUGGAGUUUAGGCAGCCCUGCAGUAGAGGAAGCCUUUUCAGAGGACAUUACCCACACUUAGGGAUUUGGGGUUGCCACCACCACCGCCGACCACUCACCCAUCCCCCAGGUGGGCGAGAGACAGCUAACCGCCGGUUAGUAACCGGCAUCAGCGCCCACUGCAGAAUGAGGACCCACAGCUUUUCGAGGGUCGCGGUGGGUGCUGGAGCCUAUCCAAGCUGUCUUCAGGCAAUCGGCGGGGGACACCCUGAACUGGUUGCCAACCAAUCACACGGCACACAUAGACAAACAACUAUUCACGCUCACAAUCACACCUACUGUCAAUUUUGAGUGUUCAAUCCGCCUGCCAUGCAUGUUCUUGGAAUGCGGGAGGAAGCCAGAGUACCCGGAGAAAACCCACACGGGCACGAGAACAUGCAAACUCCACACAAGAGGGCCGGAGCCGAAAUCGAACCUUGCACAGUGAGGUCGACGUGCUAAUCAGUCACCCACCGUGCCGCUGCCGAAAACCUGAUUUGCGAAUGAAAAAAAAAACAAGGGCAGAUUCUGAAUCCGCUCCAUGAAAUUAGACAUUUGCUCGCAUUUCCUAUUAAAAUAAGUUACAUUUUGUUGACUACCUUAGUGUUAUAGUUUUAGAACUUUUUUUGGGAGCAUUUUCAUUUUAUUACAUUUACAUUAGUUUUUUCAAUUUGUGUGUUUUUUUCUAUAUUAACCUUGGUAAUUACGGUAAACCGCUUCAAGCUCUUGUCGAAGAAUUUACUCAUUUUGUCGAGUCAACUAGUCCGCUCAACCCAUACUCUGUUUUGGCCUUUUUGUGGAUUAUUUCUCAUGGUCUGAUUCAUUAUUGUGCAAAGUGGAUGUUGACAGAAAUAAUGCCCGUAUUCAGUCAGAAGAGUUUGAUAAAAAAUGUACAUGUAUUUCUCUUUAUAUUUUGCAAUGACAGGAACAUUUAUUCAACUUUCAACAAAAAAAUGUCCACAAGGACAAGUGCAAAACUGGCUGAAAUCCACAAGCAAAAGGCGACAACAACAACAACUGAAAACAAAUAAAAGUUAACAUUGAAAAAGCUAGACGUGUUACCAAAUUGACACACUGGCGGUCGAGAAAAAGACUUCGGUCAAUUGGUGGAAACGCCAACAACAUUGUGACGCCUUGCUCCCGAGCGCUGUGUAUUGUACGACUCUUCAUCUAUUUCAGCCUCCGUGA